rnacentral:rRNA from 1 species
UGGAGUAUGUGGUUAAUUCGAUGCAACGCGAAGAACCUACCUGGUCUUGACAUCCCGGAGACCCUUAGGAAACUAGGGGUGCUUCCAUCUGGAAGAAUCUGGAGACAGGUGCUGCAUGGCUGUCGUCAGCUCGUGUCGUGAGAUGUUGGGUUAAGUCCCGCAACGAGCGCAACCCUUGCCUUUAGUUGCCAGCAGUUCGGCUGGGCACUCUAAAGGGACUGCCGGUGUUAAACCGGAGGAAGUGGGGAUGACGUCAAGUCCUCAUGGCCUUUAUGACCAGGGCUACACACGUACUACAAUGGCCGAUACAAAGGGCAGCGACACUGCGAGGUGAAGCCAAUCCCGUAAAAUCGGUCUCAGUCCGGAUUGGAGUCUGCAACUCGACUCCAUGAAGUUGGAAUUGCUAGUAAUCGUGGAUCAGCAUGCCACGGUGAAUACGUUCCCGGGCCUU